UACGAAGGGGGCGAGCGUUGUUCGGAAUUACUGGGCGUAAAGCGUGCGCAGGCGGUUCUAUAAGACAGAUGUGAAAUCCCCGGGCUCAACCUGGGAACUGCAUUUGUGACUGUAGAGCUGGAGUACGGUAGAGGGGGAUGGAAUUCCGCGUGUAGCAGUGAAAUGCGUAGAUAUGCGGAGGAACACCGAUGGCGAAGGCAAUCCCCUGGACCUGUACUGACGCUCAUGCACGAAAGCGUGGGGAGCAAACAGG
rnacentral:rRNA from 1 species